rnacentral:rRNA from 1 species
AUGAACGCUAGCUACAGGCUUAACACAUGCAAGUCGAGGGGCAGCAUGGUCUUAGCUUGCUAAGGCCGAUGGCGACCGGCGCACGGGUGAGUAACACGUAUCCAACCUGCCGUCUACUCUUGGACAGCCUUCUGAAAGGAAGAUUAAUACAAGAUGGCAUCAUGAGUCCGCAUGUUCACAUGAUUAAAGGUAUUCCGGUAGACGAUGGGGAUGCGUUCCAUUAGAUAGUAGGCGGGGUAACGGCCCACCUAGUCUUCGAUGGAUAGGGGUUCUGAGAGGAAGGUCCCCCACAUUGGAACUGAGACACGGUCCAAACUCCUACGGGAGGCAGCAGUGAGGAAUAUUGGUCAAUGGGCGAGAGCCUGAACCAGCCAAGUAGCGUGAAGGAUGACUGCCCUAUGGGUUGUAAACUUCUUUUAUAAAGGAAUAAAGUCGGGUAUGGAUACCCGUUUGCAUGUACUUUAUGAAUAAGGAUCGGCUAACUCCGUGCCAGCAGCCGCGGUAAUACGGAGGAUCCGAGCGUUAUCCGGAUUUAUUGGGUUUAAAGGGAGCGUAGAUGGAUGUUUAAGUCAGUUGUGAAAGUUUGCGGCUCAACCGUAAAAUUGCAGUUGAUACUGGAUAUCUUGAGUGCAGUUGAGGCAGGCGGAAUUCGUGGUGUAGCGGUGAAAUGCUUAGAUAUCACGAAGAACUCCGAUUGCGAAGGCAGCCUGCUAAGCUGCAACUGACAUUGAGGCUCGAAAGUGUGGGUAUCAAACAGGAUUAGAUACCCUGGUAGUCCACACGGUAAACGAUGAAUACUCGCUGUUUGCGAUAUACAGCAAGCGGCCAAGCGAAAGCGUUAAGUAUUCCACCUGGGGAGUACGCCGGCAACGGUGAAACUCAAAGGAAUUGACGGGGGCCCGCACAAGCGGAGGAACAUGUGGUUUAAUUCGAUGAUAUGCGAGGAACCUUACCCGGGCUUAAAUUGCAGAUGAAUUACGGUGAAAGCCGUAAGCCGCAAGGCAUCUGUGAAGGUGCUGCAUGGUUGUCGUCAGCUCGUGCCGUGAGGUGUCGGCUUAAGUGCCAUAACGAGCGCAACCCUUGUUGUCAGUUACUAACAGGUUCCGCUGAGGACUCUGACAAGACUGCCAUCGUAAGAUGUGAGGAAGGUGGGGAUGACGUCAAAUCAGCACGGCCCUUACGUCCGGGGCUACACACGUGUUACAAUGGGGGGUACAGAGGGCCGCUACCACGCGAGUGGAUGCCAAUCCCCAAAACCUCUCUCAGUUCGGACUGGAGUCUGCAACCCGACUCCACGAAGCUGGAUUCGCUAGUAAUCGCGCAUCAGCCACGGCGCGGUGAAUACGUUCCCGGGCCUUGUACACACCGCCCGUCAAGCCAUGGGAGCCGGGGGUACCUGAAGUGCGUAACCGCGAGGAGCGCCCUAGGGUAAAACUGGUGACUGGGGCU